UCGAGCGAUUUUCUUCGGAAGAGAGCGGCGGACGGGUGAGUAACGCGUGGGUAACCUGCCCUGUACACACGGAUAACAUACCGAAAGGUAUGCUAAUACGGGAUAACAUAAGAAAGUCGCAUGGAUUUCUUAUCAAAGCUUUUGCGGUACAGGAUGGACCCGCGUCUGAUUAGCUAGUUGGUAAGGUAACGGCUUACCAAGGCGACGAUCAGUAGCCGACCUGAGAGGGUGAUCGGCCACAUUGGAACUGAGACACGGUCCAAACUCCUACGGGAGGCAGCAGUGGGGAAUAUUGCACAAUGGGCGAAAGCCUGAUGCAGCAACGCCGCGUGAGCGAUGAAGGCCUUCGGGUCGUAAAGCUCUGUCCUCAAGGAAGAUAAUGACGGUACUUGAGGAGGAAGCCCCGGCUAACUACGUGCCAGCAGCCGCGGUAAUACGUAGGGGGCUAGCGUUAUCCGGAAUUACUGGGCGUAAAGGGUGCGUAGGCGGUCUUUCAAGUCAGAAGUGAAAGGCUACGGCUCAACCGUAGUAAGCUUUUGAAACUGUAAGACUUGAGUGCAGGAGAGGAGAGUGGAAUUCCUAGUGUAGCGGUGAAAUGCGUAGAUAUUAGGAGGAACACCAGUUGCGAAGGCGGCUCUCUGGACUGUAACUGACGCUGGGGCACGAAAGCGUGGGGAGCAAACAGG
rnacentral:rRNA from 1 species